UGGGGGCCAAGUUCACAUCGUCGUCAGCUUCAGAUCGUAGCUCCGACGGGUCAACUUCUCCGGAUCGUUGGACGCCAUGAGGGAGAAAUCUUGGAAGAUGUCGAGAUGGAGCAACUGAGGACCGAGAGCGUAUGGGAAACUGAUUCCGGAAGAUUUUCAAGGAGAUAGAGCGAAUUCUGAUGUGGAAUUGUGUUCCCACCCCCCCACAGGUUUGUUUUUGCAACGAAGCUGCAAUUCCUGCAAUGCCGGGGCUUGGACUUUCGAUUCUGCAAUUCUGUGAUUCUAUAAGCCGCGUGUGAAUUUUAGGAGAGAAAUAAAUGCGUCCUGGCAUUCUGGGGCUAGGACUGAACAGCACCUGGAAAGAUGAGAGCUCACACCCAGCCCAGCUCUCUCCCAUGUGUGUCCCCAUCCAUAGCUGUCAACUUUCAGAUUUGAAAAUAAGGGAUCAGCAGCCUCACCUGUCCCGGGGACAGUCUACGGGAUAUUUAACAAUCCGUGAUAGCAGUGGGAAACAGUGCUGGAAUAAGGACAUUUCCCGCAAAAUAAGGGAAGGUUGACAUGGUUGGAAAUGAAAUAAAUAGAAAGGAUCAUAAACUAUUUUUAUAUGCAGUAACAGGAGCAAGAAUAUUACUGGCCCAAAAAUGGAAGCAGGAAGAAUUACCAUUGAUAGAAGAAUGGAGAAUGAAAUUAAUGGACUACGCAGAAAUGGAUAAAUUAAUAGGAAGAGUCUGAAACCAACGAGAUCACAAGUUUACCAAGGACUGAAGCAAAUUUGUGGAUUAUAUGGGAUGAGCAAACAACGUUUGUGGGUUUACAGGAAGCUUUGUGAAGAAAUAAUAUUAGAAACGCUGUAAAAAAGGGAACAAGGGAGUAUGUUUAUUUAAAACAAAAGGCAAUGUUAAAUUUAGAAUUGCGGAUAGAAGAUUUGAUAACGGAAGA